rnacentral:rRNA from 1 species
AUGGUGAUGGGAUACUCUCCCGCUGAGUCAGUGGCCAUCGCCAAUAGACUUAAUUGCCGCCUGGGCUCGUUCCCCACUACCUACCUUGGGACGCCCAUCAGUGACUCACGCCUCUUGGCCGCCGAUCUUCGCCCCUCCGUGACCAAGCUCCAGACUAGAUGCGAGCCCUGGCAGGGGAGGUGGCUCUCCAAGGCGGCCCGGACUAUUCUUAUCAACUCCUCCCUCUCCAGCCUCCUCUUAUUUCUUAUGAGUUUCUACAGCCUCCACGAAUCUCUCCAUAAGGAGAUCGCCAAAAUCCAGUCCCGCUUCUAUUGGGCUGGCGAGCACGGCAAGCAGAAGUAUCACAUGGUCAGCUGGCCUGACAUCUGCAAGCCUCGGGAGCAGGGUGGAUUGGGGAUCAUGUGCUCUAAGCGGAUGAAUAUUGCCCUCCUAUCCCGGUGGUUGUGGCGCAUCUCGCAGGGUUAG